GUCAGGGCCUGUGGGGUGGAGCCACCAGGGCAGGAGGUGGGGGCAAGGAGGUACCCAGUCGGCAGGAAGGGACAGAUGCCGGGGGUUCAAGAUCGGGCAAGGAUGGUCGGCUGGGGUCCCGAACUGGCUGGGGCUAAAUGACAUGUGGCUUCCCCUUCAAUGGACCGCCCCCAACUCCCUUGACACUGAACGAGACUCCGGAGCAGAACUUCCAUCCAGGCCAGCCCAGGAUACGUCCUCGGCGCAGCCCGUCCCCAGAGCAGACCUUCAGGGUCCUCAUGAGAGGGGCGGGGACGCUGAGGGAAGGGACGUGGCAACCCAGACAAACGCACUGUAGGACAGAGGAGCGUCCCACACUGGGGCACCCGUGCUCUGGGAGCCUCCCUGUCACCUGCCUUCCACACCCACUCCAGAGGCCUGGGCGCCACCUCCAGCAACACCCGUCUGCUGCCGGCCUGCACUCACCGUGACUCCAAGCCGGCUCCCAGGCUCAGAAGCACCUUGGCACAGCAUCCUAGGACCCUCGAGAGAAACAGUGCUGUGCCAGCGCCCCCCGCCCCACCCAGGCCAGGCCCCUGGCUGGCACUGAGCCCCCUCCGAGGCUGUGGCUGCACAUGUCUGAAACGACUCUGAGGCAGCCGGGGUGGCAGCACUUAUGUGACCGACAUGCUGUAGCCAAACGGGACUUACCUCAGA